AAAAGACUUAGUCCUAACCUUGUCGUUAAUUUUUACUAGGCAUAUACAUGCAAGUAUCCGCACCCCAGUGUAAAUGCCCUUCACCCCUUCACAAGGUAAAAGGAGCAGGCAUCAGGCACACCCACAGUCGUAGCCCAAGACGCCUUGCUUGGCCACACCCCCACGGGUACUCAGCAGUAAUUAACCUUAAGCAAUAAGUGUAAACUUGACUUAGCCAUAGCAACCCAGGGUCGGUAAAUCUUGUGCCAGCCACCGCGGUCACACAAGAGACCCAAAUUAACUACAAAUGCGGCGUAAAGAGUGGUACCAUGCUAUCCGCACAGCUACGAUCAAAGUACAACUGAGCUGUCAUAAGCCUAAGAUGUACCUAAGAUUCCCCCGAAAAAUGAUCUUAGCGCUUACGAUCAAUUAAACCCCACGAAAGCUAAGAUACAAACUGGGAUUAGAUACCCCACUAUGCUUAGCCCUAAAUCUUGACACUCAACUUACCGAAGUGUCCGCCUGAGAACUACGAGCACAAACGCUUAAAACUCUAAGGACUUGGCGGUGCCUCAAACCCACCUAGAGGAGCCUGUUCUAUAAUCGAUGACCCACGAUGCACCCGACCUCCUCUCGCCAUGGCCAGCCUACAUACCGCCGUCGCCAGCUCACCUUCCCUGAGAGCACAGCAGUGAGCACAAUAGCCCAAGCCCCGCUAACAAGACAGGUCAAGGUAUAGCCCAUGAGGGGGAAAGAAAUGGGCUACAUUUUCUAAAAUAGAGAAUAUACGGAAGGGGUCUAUGAAACUACCCCUAGAAGGCGGAUUUAGUAGUAAAGCGGGAUAAUAAAGCCCUCUUUAAACCGGCCCUGGGGCACGUACAUACCGCCCGUCACCCUCUUCACAAGCUAUUUCUUCCAAUAACUUAAUGCGCCUACUUAGUCGAAGAUGAGGUAAGUCGUAACAAGGUAAGUGUACCGGAAGGUGUACUUAGCGUAUA
rnacentral:rRNA from 1 species